GAUGAACGCUGGCGGCGUGCCUAAUACAUGCAAGUCGAGCGAACAGACGAGGAGCUUGCUCCUCUGACGUUAGCGGCGGACGGGUGAGUAACACGUGGAUAACCUACCUAUAAGACUGGGAUAACUUCGGGAAACCGGAGCUAAUACCGGAUAAUAUAUUGAACCGCAUGGUUCAAUAGUGAAAGACGGUUUUGCUGUCCCUUAUAGAUGGAUCCGCGCCGCAUUAGCUAGUUGGUAAGGUAACGGCUUACCAAGGCAACGAUGCGUAGCCGACCUGAGAGGGUGAUCGGCCACACUGGAACUGAGACACGGUCCAGACUCCUACGGGAGGCAGCAGUAGGGAAUCUUCCGCAAUGGGCGAAAGCCUGACGGAGCAACGCCGCGUGAGUGAUGAAGGUCUUCGGAUCGUAAAACUCUGUUAUUAGGGAAGAACAAAUGUGUAAGUAACUAUGCACGUCUUGACGGUACCUAAUCAGAAAGCCACGGCUAACUGCGUG
rnacentral:rRNA from 1 species